CCUUCGGUAGCUCAGCUGGUAGAGCGGAGGACUGUAGAUCCUUAGGUCGCUGGUUCGAUUCCGGCUCGAAGGA
rnacentral:tRNA from 5 species